rnacentral:rRNA from 1 species
GAUGAACGCUAGCUACAGGCUUAACACAUGCAAGUCGAGGGACCGGCGCACGGGUGAGUAACACGUAUCCAACCUGCCCUUUACUCGGGGAUAGACUUUCGAAAGAAAGAUUAAUACCCGAUAUCAAGGAUGGGGAUGCGUUCAAUUAGGUUGUUGGUGAGGUAACGGCUCACCAAACCUUCGAUGGAUAGGGGUUCUGAGAGGAAGGGCCCCUACAUUGUAACUGAGACACGGUCAAAACUCCUCAGGGAGGCAGCAGUGAGGAAUAUUGGUCAAGGGGCGCUAGCCUGAACCAGCCAAGUAGCGUGAAGGAUGAAUGCUUAUGGGUCGUAAACUUCUUUUAUAUAAGAAUAUGUAUUAUAUUAAUAAGGAUAGGCUAACUCCGUGCCAGCAGCCGCGGUAAUAC